rnacentral:rRNA from 1 species
UACGAAGGGGGCGAGCGUUAAUCGGAAUUACUGGGCGUAAAGCGUGCGCAGGCGGUUUUGUAAGACAGAUGUGAAAUCCCCGGGCUUAACCUGGGAACUGCGUUUGUGACUGUGUUGCUAGAGUGUAGCAGAGGGGGGUGGAAUUCCACGUGUAGCAGUGAAAUGCGUAGAUAUGUGGAGGAACACCGAUGGCGAAGGCAGCCCCCUGGGUUAACACUGACGCUCAUGCACGAAAGCGUGGGGAGCAAACAGGAUUAGAUACCCCGGUAGU